AGAGUUUGAUCCUGGCUCAGGAUGAACGCUGGCGGCGUGCCUAACACAUGCAAGUCGAGCGAUUUACUUCGGUAAAGAGCGGCGGACGGGUGAGUAACGCGUGGGUAACCUGCCUCAUACACAUGGAUAACAUACCGAAAGGUAUGCUAAUACAAGAUGAUAUAAGAGAUUCGCAUGGAUUUCUUAUCAAAGCUCCGGCGGUAUGAGAUGGACCCGCGUCUGAUUAGCUAGUUGGUAAGGUAACGGCUUACCAAGGCGACGAUCAGUAGCCGACCUGAGAGGGUGAUCGGCCACAUUGGAACUGAGACACGGUCCAAACUCCUACGGGAGGCAGCAGUGGGGAAUAUUGCACAAUGGGCGAAAGCCUGAUGCAGCAACGCCGCGUGAGCGAUGAAGGCCUUCGGGUCGUAAAGCUCUGUCCUCAAGGAAGAUAAUGACGGUACUUGAGGAGGAAGCCCCGGCUAACUACGUGCCAGCAGCCGCGGUAAUACGUAGGGGGCUAGCGUUAUCCGGAUUUACUGGGCGUAAAGGGUGCGUAGGUGGUUUCUUAAGUCAGGAGUGAAAGGCUACGGCUUAACCGUAGUAAGCUCUUGAAACUGGGAAACUUGAGUGCAGGAGAGGAAAGUGGAAUUCCUAGUGUAGCGGUGAAAUGCGUAGAUAUUAGGAGGAACACCAGUAGCGAAGGCGGCUUUCUGGACUGUAACUGACACUGAGGCACGAAAGCGUGGGGAGCAAACAGGAUUAGAUACCCUGGUAGUCCACGCCGUAAACGAUGAGUACUAGGUGGUCGGGGGUUACCCCCCCUCGGUGCCGCAGCUAACGCAUUAAGUACUCCG
rnacentral:rRNA from 1 species